ensembl:lincRNA Hotair HOX transcript antisense RNA (non-protein coding)
AGCUGGCAGGGAGUGGAGCCAGAGGCAGAAAAGGAGAGAAAAGUUUCCUGCCGUCUUCAUUAGUUGACUUCCCAGUCCACAGCCACAGCUUCCCGGGGCUGCAGAAUUCACUCUCAAUAAAGAAAGGAGGCUUAAAAAAAAAAAAAAAGUCCUGUGUUUACAAGACCAGAAAUGCCAGCGCUAAGUCCUUCCAGAGAGAAAGGCUGAAAUGGAGGACCGACGCCUUCCUUAUAAGCUCAUCGGAGCACGAUAGAAAAGCAACUGUAAAGGCAGAGAGAGUAAGAGCGGAAGGAAGGAAGUCAGCGCCAACGUAGACCAAAAGGAACCACCCAGAAAUGUAGAAAAAGGAACCGGCAGAGGUCCCCAACAUCGGUAGAAGGACAGAAGACACGCACGGAGAAAGGUUUAUGUUUUGUUUUGUUGUUUUUUAAAUUUCAACUUGGAGCUCAAUGAAGAAAAGGCAAAAUAUAGGCCAGUGGACCAGAGGACCGGAAGAGGACCAGUCAUAGCUCACAGUGUGCCGGGUCCAGAUGGAAGGAACUCCAGACAAACCCCAGUGGCAGGAUAGGCACAGUCCUGAAGGCUGGGGGCUCGCCCCUUGAAACCCUCUUCGCAGGCUGCCUGAGUUCUUUUGCUCUCCUUAUCAUCCCCAUCUUUAUGACGAGGCUUGUUAACAUGACCAGCGAUCUGACCACGCACAUCUAUCUCCACCGCACACGCACUCAGCCGAGCAGCUGAGCUGGGGGGACUGAGAGGCACUAAUUAAUUGAUUCCUUGGACUGUAAAAUAUGGCUGUGUCUACACACACGGAACCUGUGGACUCAUAAACAAUAUGUCUGCAGAUGUGAGUGCACUGUCUCUUAAAGAAUUUUUCUAUAGUUAUGUGCCUAUUAGAAUCCAGGAUUUGAAAGACUCAAAUAAGAUUGCUUUUUCAUAAGCCUCAACACAGUACAAUGUCAGAAAAUUCUGCAAAAACUUGGGUUAUGGAAUAGGUUUUCUCUGCUGUUACUGUAGACACACAAAUUGGCUUCUGACUGCUAAGUGUUAGGAUCAAAAUCAAAGCCCAGCUGAGAAGGCCUGAAUGAAGCCUUUGCCCUUCCUGGGAGAAGGGGAAUGGGCCCAGGUUCAGGUCUUACUUCAUAAUGCUGCUUAGGCUCAAGAUUAUAAUAUUAAUAUAUAUAUAUUUACAAACCCUAACCUAAAGGAGCCUAACCCUAACCCUUACCUAGCUCUCCAGAUCACUGUCUACCCCUUAACUAUCUGUCUGCAUAGAGCAUUGCUAUAACAUGCUUGCAUUAGUCUUGGAAGAAUGUGUCUUGAGAUGCAUAAGUAAAUAGCUCUAACAAUUCUAUAUAAUCAUGAUUCCAUAGUGAAUCUUGAUGCAAAUAGGCGUUAAUAUGUUCUCAACAGAUACCAGCUUCAGACAAGAGACACAACAGGAAACUAAAAGUGACCAUUUAUACAACAAUGUUUGCUGACAUACAUGGCUAUUUCAAAGACAAAAAUACUAGGCAGAAAUAGAAAAACACAAAUAGAAACACAAAUAGAAAAAUCCAAUUAACCAGUGGAGUUUGUCAUUACCAAUGUCAUCAUUGCUUCCUGAUUUUGGGUGACUCUUUUAAACCCGGCUGUGUUCCCUUCAUUCAGCACGGCAGAGAUGGUCUACCUUCCCAUACCUUCAGCUCUGGCUCCAAUAUUUAUUUUUUAAAAAAUCUUCAGAGAAAUGUAUACCACAAAUAAUAUAUGCAUCUAAAGAAUAUGCCAAUAUAAUUUACAUAUUUUUUCAUAUACUAGGCUGAUAUGCACUUUGUAUGUGUGUAAGAAUGUGAUAUAAUUCUGAGUUUUUACUGCUGUAGUAAUAUUUGGGUGCAUUUCAUGCAAUAGUUCCAUAUGCUACAGAAUGUAGAUACACGUGACUAAAUGAACUCAGAAAAGCACACCCUUUAUGUAGGAUAUAUGAACGCCUUGCUUACAAAUGCAAAUAAAUUCUUGCUUGUGAAUCU